rnacentral:lncRNA from 1 species
ACGUCCCCGUAAAGUACAGAGACGACCCUCUCAGAAAAACAGAAAAACAAGGAUUCAAACGAUACAAUUCCAGAGUCGUCCCCGUAAAGUGCCGAGUCGACCCCAAACAAAGUGAAAAGUAAAUUUAUACAGCCGAGACGUCUCGCGUUGAAGCGGAGACGUCUCCGGAGCGCCUGGGACGCGACUGACAACUUUUGCAGGUUUGGUUU